rnacentral:rRNA from 1 species
AACGCACGCUGGCGGCAUGCCUAACACAUGCAAGUCGAACGAAGGCUUCGGCCUUAGUGGCGCACGGGUGCGUAACGCGUGGGAAUCUGCCCUUUGGUUCGGAAUAACAGCUGGAAACGGCUGCUAAUACCGGAUGAUGACGAAAGUCCAAAGAUUUAUCGCCAGAGGAUGAGCCCGCGUUGGAUUAGGUAGUUGGUGGGGUAAAGGCCUACCAAGCCGACGAUCCAUAGCUGGUCUGAGAGGAUGAUCAGCCACACUGGGACUGAGACACGGCCCAGACUCCUACGGGAGGCAGCAGUGGGGAGUAUUGGACAAUGGGCGCAAGCCUGAUCCAGCAAUGCCGCGUGAGUGAUGAAGGCGCUAGGGUUGUAAAGCUCUUUUACCCGGGAAGAUAAUGACUGUACCGGGAGAAUAAGCCCCGGCUAACUCCGUG